rnacentral:lncRNA from 1 species
CACACCAGAGCCUGCAUUAGUCAAGCUUUGACUGAGGAAUACCCAAAAAAUUUCAAAGUUAUUUCCUCUGAAGAAGACACUGCAAGGGCAGGAGUUCAUUUUGCCAAAUAAGUAUUAUCCAAUACUCGGGAAGUAUUGGCAUUUCACAACCUUAAGCGACAAAAUCCAUUUAAUACCAGGAGUCAGGAUUUCUUGCUCCCUCAGUACCCUGCCAGCUCCAGCCUGUGCCAAAGCCACUAUUGCCAAGGGGAUAAUGAGCAUGAAGGACUUCUAAUGUAUAAAUUGCGAUCGUAAGAACAAAGGCAAGUCAAGCUUUCCUCCAGAUUAUGAUCUUCAAAGUCAGAAAAAGAGCUACAUCCGUGUUCAACUGUUCCAUACGGUAUUUCAAACACUGUUCUUCACCUUAUGAACCUGUAGCCACCUCCUGCAGUCCAGCCAGGGCCUGCACGCAUCCCAUGUGGGUAGUCUCUGCUUGUCCACCCCCCUCCGUUUCGGACUCAAGGUGA